UGUCAUAAAUUACGUGUAUCACGUGUAGUUUUUCAACGGACUCUGAUUUUGGAUUUCUCGAUUCUCAAAGUAACGCUCCGUUGAUUCGCAGCGGCUCAAAGUCUCUGAAACUAAUUAGUUGAAUACUCGUACUAUCUGUCAAACCUAGCGAAAUCACAGUGUGAUAAAUGUUGCCAAGCGGCGCUUAAAUGAGCGUGAAAAGUCAACGAGGAUAACAAGGACACAACAACCACAA